NNNAAAAAAAAAAAAAAAAAAAAAAAAAAAAAAAAAAAAAAAAAAAACACUAACCAAACGUGUAGUAUCAUGGAGCUAGACCAAUUUGAUAUCAGUAUAAAUAGAAUAGAAGAAAAAGACGAAAAAAUUCACUACAUAAUUUUAAUUCAAUAUAAAGAUCUAAAAUAUGAAAUAAACAGGAGAUAUAGCGAAUUUGAAGAAUUGCAUUGUGAAUUGUUACAUAUGGGUUUUUCAUCUUUACCUAAUUUACCUCAAAAAAAAUUACUUUCAUACAAAAAUUAUGAAUACAUAAAUUAUAGAAAGAAUAUAUUAAAUUCGUAUAUACAGAAUUUAUUUGUUAGACCUGAUAUAAGGUGUUGUGCUGUUUUUUUAAAUUUUAUUUUAUUUUAUGAAAAAAUUAACACAUCAAUCGAAAUAGUAAGAACUAAACUGAUAAAUAAUAUCGGAUCUCAAAAAUAUCCUCUUAGCGAUUUAUAUAUUAACGAAAAAAAACAUUUUAUUAUUUGUGUAUAUGAAGAUAAAAGUAACUUAAGUAAACUAGGUAAAUUAUGGUCUAUAAUCGAACCAGAUGUCGUUGGGGAAAUAAAAAUUUUUUCAUAUGAUAAUGACUUGACAUCGAAUUUCACUGAAACGUUUAAAGAACAAACUAUUUAUAAAGCACGAAAUAUUAUUUUUUCAUCUUUUAAAAAUGAAGUACUUAUAUCUGGAGAUGAUGGAAAAAUACAUAUAUAUAAACUAAAUAUAAAUUCAUUAACAUUGACAUAUAUAAAAAAAAUACCAUGUCAUAAUGAAACGAUACUAAAAAUUAUUUUAUUAAAUGACAAAUAUUUUUGUACAUGUGGUUAUGAUAAUGCUUUUAGGUUAAUACGAUUAAAUGAUUAUAAAAUAAUUAGUGGUGGAAGAUGUAAUAAUAGGUUAAAGAAUCAUAAAAUAACAACAUGUCAUUUGUUAGAACAUAACAACAUUAUAUUAGGUACUACUAAUUCUUUAUUUUUUAUUUAUAAUAUGAGUUAUAAUCCACCUAUUUAUUUAAAUGAGAUAAAACUAAGAAACGGCUCUAAUAUUACUUGUUUUACAAAUACAGAUAAAUAUAUAUUUGUAGGAUAUGAUAAUAUAAUUGCUUGUUAUAAUUAUCACUACGUAAGUGAGCAAAAAAAUGGAAACGAAAAUAAAAUGAAUGAUAUAUCCAUGGUAAAUAAUAUUACCAAUCAACAACAUACAAUAGAUACUUCAUAUGAUAAUACAGAUACAGACAUGACAUUUGAAAAUUGCAACAAAAGUAAUGAUAAUUGUAACAACAAAUUGAACCACUACACUACAACCAAUAAAGACGAUCCAAGUGAACUCAAUACAAAUAGAAACAUAAUGAAACUAGUUGUUGAGAAUAACAUAUCAGCACAAUAUAUACCCCCGUUACUUUAUGAUUGUACAGUUAUGUCCUUAUGUGUAAAUAAAGAAAAAAAAAUUUUAUAUGCUGGUUAUCAAGAUGCUAUAAUACUUUGGUCAAUUAUGAACGGUUUAAUUAUAUCUUCAUUUCAUGGUCAUACUAAUGGAGUACAUUUUUUAAUGUAUCUUUCAGAAACGGAUUUUUUAUUAUCAGGGGGUAAUAGUGGGAACUUAAAAAUAUGGAAAAGUGAUGUAGAUAAUUUUAAAGUAUGGAAACCCAAAAAAAUAUAUAAAAGUAAUGACACAACAAAAACAAUCAACACAAAUAACAAUUAUAUAAAAAAAAAAAAAAACAACUUCCUUUUCAAUAAUAUUAAUAAUACUAAUAACUACUAUAGCAAUAGCAGUACAAACAGUAACAAUAACCAUGAGUAUAAGGUAAUUUAUGAAAACAACUUCAAUUUCAACGAAAAUGAUAAUGAUGAUAGUACCAGUAACAACAGUAGUCGCAGAAGCAGUAAGAGUAGCACAAACAGUGAAUUAACACACUCGAUAGAUAAUUUGUUAGAGCAGACGAAUAAAAACAAGUAUCUCAAAAGUCCUGUUGUCAAUGUUGCUUAUACCUCAAAUGAUCAUAACACCACCAGCAGUCCUAAAACCAUCAGCGGUCCCAAUUACAAUACUAAUAACUACAACUUUAAUGAAUAUGUAACCAAUAACAACCAGAAAAACAACUCACAAAGUAAUAGUUUGUUUGAUGACCAUUUAAAUGAGUCAUAUGAAUACCAAGCAGAAGCAAGCAACCUAGAUGUAUGUGUGAUACCCAAUCCAAAUGAUAAAAGAAAAAAAAGUGAAAUAAUCAAUCAACAUGCAAACCAAAAUGUAUCAGAUAUUGAUGGUGAUAACAAUUUUAAUACUUUUAAAAAUUAUGAAUAUAAUAACAAACAAAAUUUGGAACUUACCUACUCUUCCAACGAAAAUAUGAAACGUGAUGAUGAUAUUCCAUUUGGAAAUAUAAAUGAUAAUUAUGAAACAAAAUAUAAUAAAAAUAGGUCUAAUAACAUGUACCAAAACGAAGAUGUAUAUAACAACAACCUGUUGAAUAGAAUAAGGACAAACGAAAACAUACUAAAUCAAAAAGAUAUAAAUCAAACAAAUUAUAAAUAUUCUAAUAUACAUGAAAUGCAAAAUGAUAAACAACACGUAAAAAUAAACAAAAAAAACGAUGGUGAAUAUAAUAAGGACAAAACUGAAGCAGACGAUUACGAAGAUUUUAAAAAAAAUAUAGUAUAUGUCAAUAAUGAGGAUGAUGAUUUAGCUUCAGCUUUUACCUGAUUUAUUUUGACACGCUCCAAAAGCAUUGUGUAUGUAUUUUGUACACAUUUAUAUAUG
rnacentral:lncRNA from 1 species